GAUGAACGCUGGCGGCGUGCCUAAUACAUGCAAGUCGAGCGAACGGACGAGAAGCUUGCUUCUCUGAUGUUAGCGGCGGACGGGUGAGUAACACGUGGAUAACCUACCUAUAAGACUGGGAUAACUUCGGGAAACCGGAGCUAAUACCGGAUGAUAUUUUGAACCGCAUGGUUCAAAAGUGAAAGACGGUCUUGCUGUCACUUAUAGAUGGAUCCGCGCUGCAUUAGCUAGUUGGUAAGGUAACGGCUUACCAAGGCAACGAUGCAUAGCCGACCUGAGAGGGUGAUCGGCCACACUGGAACUGAGACACGGUCCAGACUCCUACGGGAGGCAGCAGUAGGGAAUCUUCCACAAUGGGCGAAAGCCUGACGGAGCAACGCCGCGUGAGUGAUGAAGGUCUUCGGAUCGUAAAACUCUGUUAUUAGGGAAGAACAUAUGUGUAGUAACUGUGCACAUCUUGACGGUACCUAAUCAGAAAGCCACGGCUAACUACGUG
rnacentral:rRNA from 1 species